AGUGAACGCUGGCGGUAGGCCUAACACAUGCAAGUCGAACGGCAGCACAGUAAGAGCUUGCUCUUACGGGUGGCGAGUGGCGGACGGGUGAGGAAUACAUCGGAAUCUACUUUUUCGAGGGGGAUAACGUAGGGAAACUUACGCUAAUACCGCAUACGACCUACGGGUGAGAGCAGGGGAUCUUCGGACCUUGCGCGAUUGAAUGAGCCGAUGUCGGAUUAGCUAGUUGGCGGGGUAAAGGCCCACCAAGGCGACGAUCCGUAGCUGGUCUGAGAGGAUGAUCAGCCACACUGGAACUGAGACACGGUCCAGACUCCUACGGGAGGCAGCAGUGGGGAAUAUUGGACAAUGGGCGCAAGCCUGAUCCAGCCAUACCGCGUGGGUGAAGAAGGCCUUCGGGUUGUAAAGCCCUUUUGUUGGGAAAGAAAAGCAGCAGGUUAAUACCCCGCUGUUCUGACGGUACCCAAAGAAUAAGCACCGGCUAACUUCGUG
rnacentral:rRNA from 1 species